rnacentral:rRNA from 1 species
GAUGAACGCUAGCGGCAGGCUUAAUACAUGCAAGUCGAGGGGCAGCAGCUCUGUAGCAAUACAGAGGCUGGCGACCGGCAAACGGGUGCGGAACACGUACACAACCUUCCUUUAAGUGGGGAAUAGCCCGGGGAAACCCGGAUUAAUACCCCGUAACAUUAUGAAGUGGCAUCACUUUAUAAUUAUAGCUCAGGCGCUUAAUGAGUGGGUGUGCGGCUGAUUAGAUAGGUUGGCGGGGUAACGGCCCACCAAGUCUGCGAUCAGUAACUGGUGUGAGAGCA